rnacentral:rRNA from 1 species
CGCCCUUCGGGGUGCACCAGGCGCGAAAACUUUACAAUGCUGGCAACAGCGAUAAGGGGACCUCGAGUGCCAGGAUACAAUCUUGGCUGUCGCGAUGCCUAAAAAGCAUUGCAUAGCAAGGGCCGGGCAAGACCGGUGCCAGCCGCCGCGGUAACACCGGCGGCUCGAGUGGUAACCGCUAUUAUUGGGUCUAAAGGGUCCGUAGCCGGCCGGAUAAGUCUUUUGGGAAAUCCAGCUGCUCAACAGUUGGGCUUUCAGAAGAUACUGUUCGGCUCGAGACCGGGAGAGGUGAGAGGUACUUCAGGGGUAGGGGUGAAAUCUUGUAAUCCUUGAAGGACCACCAGUGGCGAAGGCGUCUCACCAGAACGGAUCUGACGGCAAGGGACGAAAGCUAGGGGCACGAACCGGAUUAGAUACCCGGGUAGUCCUAGCCGUAAACGAUACUCGCUAGGUGUCAGCCACGGUGCGACCGUGGUUGGUGCCGUAGGGAAGCCGUGAAGCGAGCCACCUGGGAAGUACGGCCGCAAGGCUGAAACUUAAAGGAAUUGGCGGGGGAGCAC